GCAUUGGUGGUUCAGUGGUAGAAUUCUAGCUUGCCAUGUUGGAGACCUGGGUUCGAUUCCCAGCCAACGCA
rnacentral:tRNA from 1 species